GAGACACGGUCCAGACUCNUACGGGAGGCAGCAGUGGGGAAUUUUGGGCAAUGGGGGCAACCCUGAUCCAGCCAUUCCGCGUGAGUGAAGAAGGCCUUCGGGUUGUAAAGCUCUUUCAGCCGGAACGAAACGGUACGCUCUAACAUAGCGUGCUAAUGACGGUACCGGCAGAAGAAGCACCGGCUAACUACGUGCCAGCAGCCGCGGUAAUACGUAGGGUGCGAGCGUUAAUCGGAAUUACUGGGCGUAAAGCGUGCGCAGGCGGAUUGUUAAGCAAGAUGUGAAAUCCCCGGGCUUAACCUGGGAAUGGCAUUUUGAACUGGCAGUCUAGAGUGUGUCAGAGGGGGGUGGAAUUCCACGUGUAGCAGUGAAAUGCGUAGAUAUGUGGAGGAACACCAAUGGCGAAGGCAGCCCCCUGGGAUAACACUGACGCUCAUGUACGAAAGCGUGGGUAGCAAACAGGAUUAGAUACCCUGGUAGUCCACGCCCUAAACGAUGUCAACUGGUUGUUGGGGGAGUGAAAUCCCUUAGUAACGAAGCUAACGCGUGAAGUUGACCGCCUGGGGAGUACGGUCGCAAGAUUAAAACUCAAAGGAAUUGACGG
rnacentral:rRNA from 1 species